rnacentral:lncRNA from 1 species
GUUUCCACGGCUGGGGAUGGGAGUCCUGCCUUUUCCCUUUGUUUCUGGCUGUCUUAAGGGCUAUUUCUGUCUUCAGGAUUACGGCUUCUUUGACGCAUGAACGUUUUGGAAUUUAUGAGGAUUUUAAUGAGGAUUUUCUGAAAAAAAUAAAAAUUGUUAUGUUCUGGGCAUUCAUCUAUCCUCUCAUCAGCUUUUGAUCUACCACAUCUUGGGAUAUGAAUAAUGUUUCUGUUAAUGAGCCAGCCUCUGGGAACCAUCACUCUCCUAUUGCUUAAGAUUUCCAGUUGUUACCUUAGAAUUUUGCAACAUAAAUUUACAAUUAAUCCAAACCUGCUUUCAAAUAACACCAUAUCACCACGUAGGUAAGCCAAGUACCUUAUAAUAACAAAAUAUUACUAGCUUCUCCCUUCUGUCCUUAUAGUAUUGUUACAUUCAUUUCACAUAUGCAUAAGCAUGCAUAUAUAUGUGUAUGUAUAUAUAUAUAUAUACACACAUAUAUGUGUACAUAAUUGAAUACACUAUUGCUAUUAUUAUUAUUGUUUUCUGUUAGAUCAACUAAGGAAAAGAAAAGUUAGUAUUUUACCUUUACUUAUGCAUUUUCUGGUGCUCUUCCUUUAUUUAUGUUGAUCUGAAUUUCUGACCUACAUAAUUUUUUCCCUAUGAAGAACUUCUUUUGCAAGGCAGGUUUACUAAUGAAAAAAAAUCCCUUAAUUUUUAUUUUUCUGAGGAAAUCCUUAUUGCUCCUUUACUUUUGAAGAAUAACCUCACAAGGUGCAGAGCUUUAAGUUGGUGGGUUUUAUCUCUUAACACUUAAAAUAUUUUAUCCCACUCUCUUCUUGCUAUGCAGCAAGCUUGCUUGCUUCCUUGUUUCUCAGGAGAAGUCAGUUGUAGUUCUCUGCUCCUCUAUAGGUGAACUGUUCUUUUCCUCUGGUUUCUCCCAAGAUUUUUUUUCAGCUUUGAUUUUCUAAGUUUUUAUAUGAUAAAUGCCUAGAUGUACUUUUUUGGCAUUUAUUCUUCUUGGUAUUUUCUGAGAUUUCUGGAUCUGUAGUUUGGUGUCUGACAUUAAUUUAGGGAAUUUGUAAUUUUUGCGUCCAUAUUGCUUUAGCUCCUAUCUCUCCUUCUUCUCUUUCCAGCAUUAUCAUUAUGUAUAAGUUACAUCUAUUUAUAGUUAUGCCACAGUUCUUGCACAUUGUGUUCUAUUCUUAGCAUUUUAGUCAUAGUUUAAGUUGUUUUUUUUUUUUAAAUUCCUGGUCUGAUAAUUCCAACAUUCCUGCCAUAUCUGAAUAUUGCUCUGAUGAUUGUCAGGUCGCUUCAAACAGUUCUUUUGCCUUUCAGUGUUUCUUGUUAAUUUUUUUAUUACACCUUGUUGAAAGGUAGAUGUGUUGUGCCAGGUAAAAGAAACUUCUAUAAACAGGCUUAUAGUAAUAAAGUGGUAAGAAGGGAGUGGACAGGAAGUGAUGUAUAGUCCUACUAUUACAUCUCAGUCUUACGGUAAUCCCAUGCCUCUGGACUGCAGACUUUUCUCAGUCUCCCUACUCCCCACAUUAGGUGAGACAAAAUGACUAGAUGGGCUACAGUUGGGUAUUUCCCUACCCUUAGGUAGAUUAAGCUCUGAUAUAAUCCCAGCAGGUUAGGUUCUGGUUAAUUAGUUUCUUUUGAGGGUAGGCCUAAUUAAGAAGAAGAGAAUUCUCUGGUGUGUUUCAAAAUGUUUCCUAUUCCCCUUCCCUUGCCAGAGGCAUGAGGGGAUUUUUCUCCAGUAUUCACUGUUAGGAUCUGGUAGAAUUCCUGGAAAUAAAAGUUGUAAGAGUCUGAGGGUCCCCCUAGAGUUUUUAACUCUCAGACUUGUACAUUCUGAGCCUCCAGCUAUCCAUCAACUACUGUUCAGAUUUUUCUAACCCAGCACUGUUGCUAUGAAGGUUUCUACUAACGGAUUUCUACUCCAGUAAGCUGUGAUUCUCUGUAUGCACCUAUCUCUCCAAUUGUUGGGGCAGUAGAUUUGUCCUGAGACCCCACUUGUCUGAUGGAGCUAAGAAGAGUUUUUAAUGUUUUAGUUUGUUCAGCUUUUUAUCUUUUGCUAGGACUGAGUGAAGACUUCUAAACUCCUUAGGUGCUUGACCAGAAACCAGAAGUCUCUAACUUUAUAAACAUACAUACAUUUGGUUUGGUCUGUUUCUUCCCCCUUUGAAUUUCUUUAUUAAACCUGUCAAAUUUUGUCCAGGCUUCAUGAUUAACCUAAAAAUGCUACCUAAUAUCUGACACUUGAUCUCCCAACUUAGACAUAAUUUGUUUUUAUUUUUAAAUUUAUAUCUACUAUAUUUUAAGGUACUUAUUAAUUUUGACUCCUGUGGGAAGUGUACAUGAAGCUAAGCAUGUAUUUAGAUUAAGUGCUAAUUAGUCAGACUUCCCAGAAAAAGUAGGAUUUGAACUGGUUCUGAAAAAUGAGUCAUAUACUGACCAAAUGGUCUCUGACAAAUAAUUUGACAUUUUUGGUAUUUUGAGAACACUAUAUUCAAAAUGCACUUUUAAAUAAGCUUUCUCUUAUGUGCUUUAUAACUGGGGUUGACAAACUACAG